rnacentral:lncRNA from 1 species
UUGAAGAUAGCUUGGCCAUUGGACCCUUUCUUUGAUAAUUUUUUUUCGUGUUCUUCUUUUCUUCUUCUUCAAGGGUCAUGCAAUGGGGAAGCAUUCAUGGUGAGUGGAGAGGUCUAAUGAAUUGUGGUGAUGAAUGCAUAUUUUUAAUGAAUAUUUUUCAGUACUAGUCAAUGAAACUUUUCAGCCAUUUUAACAAUUUUCAAUAUAAUAUUACCACCCUAUUAAGAAAAAAAAAACUCUUAAAUUAUGUAAUUUAAUUAUAACGAAUUGAAUAUAGAGUUUUAAUGCGAUUAUAAUUAAAGUCACUCAUCAAUUUUUAUUCAAUUAGGAUUUACAAAAUCAAUUAAUUCUACAAAAUACUUUAAAAAUCAACGUUGUUAGGUGUGUUUUGUGUUUUUGAAAAUUUUGGCCACAAACAAUUACUGAUUGAUUCUUACUAUUGUUCGUCCUCCCGUUAUUACGUAAAAAAAAUCACUUCUUAAUCAUACUAAUUAGAAUUUUACAUUCUAAAAAAUAAUAUUAGAAACUACAAUGAUUUUUAAAAAGUUUUGCUAGAUUGAGAGAAAUGAGAAAAAAAGAGGUAUUUUAGAUUGUGUGUGUGGGUACCACUAAUAAAUGAUUCAAUGUAUAAAAAAUAUAUUUAAAUUUAGAUUUUUUUAUCGCAUAAGAACCUAUUGGGUUUCACACAUUUGAAAAGAAAUAAGUGAUAUUUUUUUUAAGGAAAAAUAAUUUCAAGUGAAAUUUCAUACGUUGAAUUAACUCAAAACUCAAAUGGAUUUUAAACGUAGACAGUGAAAAAUAAUUUUGAGAUUCAAAAUAAAUUGUGUUCUAUGUCAUAGAUGAUAAAUUAAUAAGUCAAAUUCAAAUUAUCAAUCAUUUGAUACGUGUAGAUAGAAUAUACAGAUGUUAUUCAUUUUUUAGUCUUUUUUUCAUAAAUUAUUUUUGCACCUCUCUCUCUCUUUCUAUAUAUAUAUAGAGAGAGAGUGAGAAACCUAGAUAGAUUUCUUCAAUCUAAGACAAUCAAUCCAAAGCUAAAAAACAAACUAUAUUUGUAUGAUAUUAAUCAUCAGUUUAUGUAUAUAUUUUUUGGGUAAUAAUCAAUUUAUAUAUUGAUCUAACUAAGAAAUCUGUUAAACUUUUUUUUAAGCACUCAUCAUGGAACAAAGACAAUGAUGCAGAGAGAGCACUACUGAGCAAUAAAGCCAGAAAUACCCCUGAGAUUAGAGACAAAUCCAUAUAAGGAAGCUUUUGAAUACCCAUGUUGCAAUUUAGGAAACAAGAAGAGAAACAUAGCAGAACAAAAUUGAAACAGAGUGAGUUAUUGUGACGAAAAGAUGAAGAGAGAGAGAGAAAUUACCCUUCGACUACGACUUGAAUUGGCUAGAUGGAUCGAGCCGCGGAUCAUCGAUGGUCCAUGACUUCAUUGUUUGAGCAUAUUACGUAGAGAGACAGAGAGUGAGUAAAGGGUUAGCAAUUUUCCCAAGUUCUUGUUAUUUUCAGUUUUUUGUAAAGGAG